rnacentral:lncRNA from 1 species
GGAGCAGUGGCAGAAUCACCCCCUGCACGUAUAAAACCUGCCAUUAAGGAGCAGAGUGACCCAGGAGUGAUGCAAACAGGACAGGCAAACAGGACAUGGCACAUCAGAAGGGUGUGGUGCAGCAGUUUAUGCAGACAGUUCACACAAGACUCCUUACACAGGCCACUUAAGCAGAGAGACAAAAGCUAUCAGAAAAUCUACCCAGUGUUCUGUUUAAUCUGGUACCAAGACACCAGGUCAUUGUCAAGGAAAACCAUUAAGAAAUGG